CCGAGAGGAGCCUCGUGCUCCAGGGGGCUUCGGUCCCUGCUUCUCAACCCUAUGAAUUACAUUCCAUCAUCAAGCUUUGUUGCAUUGGCGGGUGCGAAUGCCCCCGCCAGCAGCGCACUCAAACUCGAUUUCAAUGCAGUCCGAGUAGCACGAUAAAUAAGCAAAACUUUCAACAACGGAUCUCUUGGUUCUGGCAUCGAUGAAGAACGCAGCGAAAUGCGAUAAGUAAUGUGAAUUGCAGAAUUCAGUGAAUCAUCGAAUCUUUGAACGCACAUUGCGCCCUCUGGUAUUCCAGGGGGCAUGCCUGUUUGAGCGUCAUUGCAACCCUCAAGCCUAGCUUGGUCAUGGGCGUCGCCCCACGCGGGGCGUGCCUGAAAAGCAGUGGGAGUCCGGUGCGACUUUGGGCGUAGUAAAUUUUCUCCCGCUCUGAAAGCCUCGCGCCGCGGUGCCCAGAACCCCCUAUAUCUCCAAUGAAUUGACCUCGGAUCAGGUAGGGAUACCCGCUGAACUUAAGCAUAUCA
rnacentral:rRNA from 1 species